rnacentral:rRNA from 1 species
UACGGGGGGAGCAAGCGUUGUUCGGAUUUACUGGGCGUAAAGGGCGCGUAGGCGGCCAGCACAAGUCAGUUGUGAAAUCUCCGAGCUUAACUCGGAAAGGUCAACUGAUACUGUGCGGCUAGAGUGCAGAAGGGGCAACUGGAAUUCUUGGUGUAGCGGUGAAAUGCGUAGAGAUCCGGAGGAACACCAGAGGCGAAGGCGGCCUACUGGGUCAGUACUGACGCUGAGCCGCGAAAGCCAGGGGAGCGAACGGG